rnacentral:lncRNA from 1 species
GAUCAUCACUGGUUGGGGACCAGCGUGGCUGCUUAAAUUGUCCAUCCUAGUGUUUGUCAAGAAGGUCUUUUCCAGGAACAUGUCAGAGCUCUUCUGUGGAGUUAGCAUGCUUGACAUGGACACCAGCUUAGUCAUUAAGGAAUAAAACAAAGGGGUUUAAGUCUUGCUAGAAAUUCAUAUAUCCUGCAAGGCUACUGGGGAGACA